UACGGGGGGAGCAAGCGUUGUCCGGAAUCACUGGGCGUAAAGGGCGCGUAGGUGGUCUGAUAAGGGUGUGGUGAAAGCCCGGGGCUCAACCCCGGGUCGGCCGUGCCGACUGUUAGACUAGAGUGCUGUAGGGGCAGGCGGAAUUCCGGGUGUAGCGGUGGAAUGCGUAGAGAUCCGGAGGAAGACCGGUGGCGAAGGCGGCCUGCUGGGCAGUUACUGACACUGAGGCGCGACAGCGUGGGGAGCAAACAGG
rnacentral:rRNA from 1 species